rnacentral:ribozyme from 2 species
GCCUUAAUGCAGCCACUGAAUGGUGAUGGUCACAAGCCCAUGAAAUGCAGAGUGAGGC